AACAUGGCAGAUUCGCUACUCGUAGUUUCGUGAAAGCUGACACACUGCUCAGAGGACCCGCCUACCUGUGAGGCAAAGGGAUCUGCGAAGUCUAUUAAAAUGACAGCUCAGACUGUCCACGUCAACACUGAACACCACCAUGGACUCUGUGGCUUUGGAACCAUCGCUGUACACAGUGAAAGCCGUUUUCAUUCUGGACAAUGAUGGAAACAGGCUUGUGUCAAAGUAUUAUGACACAGAGCUAUAUUCCUCCAUGAAGGAACAGAAGAAUUUUGAAAAGAAGGUGUUCAACAAAACGUACAAAGCUGACAAUGAAAUUGCGUUUUUGGAAGGCUUGACUAUUGUUUACAAGAGCAGCAUCGAUGUCUUCUUCUAUGUGGUGGGAAGCGCACAGGAGAACGAGCUCAUGCUGAUGGCGGUGCUGAACUGUCUGUUCGAGUCUCUCAGCCAGAUUCUGAGGAAGAACGUGGAGAAGAGGUGUCUGCUGGACAACAUGGACGGGGUCUUCUUGGUCGUGGACGAGAUCAUUGACGGAGGAGUGAUCUUGGAGAGUGACCCCCAACAAGUCAUCCAAAAGGUGAACUAUCGGAAUGCUUCAGAGCAGGCUUACGGCUUCGUCCUCUUUGAUUACAUCACUGGUAAUGUUGAGGGACAGGGGGACAGGAGCCAGGGUUCUUAGCCGGAGAACGGAGGGAGAGAGGGAGAGGGUGAGGGAGAGAGAGAGGCCGGGGCCAGAUGGACGAAGGCCCGCUCUCUGAGCAGACUGUGGCUCAGGUUCUGCAGUCUGCAAAGGAACAGAUCAAAUGGUCGAUAAUGAAAUAAUGAGGUCUGGCACAGGAGAAACGGCCGAACCCAGAUCUAGUGGAUUGCAGUGUGAAUAUUUAAAUAUGUGGAACAGUGUGUACAUGUAAGGGACAAGUCUUGUUACAGUUCAACUUUAAAAGCUAGUAAGAAAGCUGUUAGAAGUGUGUAAGCUUUCUGCUAUGAAGGUACAAUAGUUUAUAUUUGUAUGUAUUGAAAUAUAAUCAGAGUAGUCUCCAGAACGUUUUACAGAGGAAGAUUUUGUGGAGUACCAGUGUAUUUUAUUUCCUAUAACAGGGUAACAAAUAUGGCAGGUAAUAUUUAUGCAUUCUUUUCCCCUCUUCUAUUGCAGUCGUAUAAGUCGUACUAGAACACGUUGUUUUUAUGAACUUGCAAACAUUUGAAACAUUUCCCCUCAUUGUUUAAAGAAAUUUCUAAGAAUGUACUGAAUUUUAGAUUUUUGUUGGUCAAAAACACUUAUUGUAUUCUUUGUUUGUUAUGGGUUGAGUCCCUGCCCUUAGACCAUCAAGUAGCCUUAAUAAAUGAAAAUUGUGUCAUCGCACGAGGGAGCGGAUAUAGCUGAAACUCAACCCAUGUGCGUGACAGUUUUAUGUGGAAAGCUAAGCUAACCGGACUGGAUACGUUGCACUGAAUGAGGCUUUUUCCACCAGACUAGUGGCUUUAAGCUGCGAGCUGACGCUGUUUCAGGCAGCUGUGAUUGUUAACUGCUGCUGCCACAGGCACAAAAUUAUUAAUUUUAAUUUGUGAGCGACACGAAAUUGCACGGCUGUAAAUAGUAAUAUUUUACGCUGUUUUCAAUGAACACACUAAAUUUCAUUACAUUUUUCCCCAGUGUAAAACUCACAAUGUUGCCUGUGAUGAUUAUUCAGGAAUUAACAAAUACGUUGCGCAAAUGGCUCUGUUACCAAAGAUCACAAAAGAAGGCUAACACUACAUUUUCUCUCUCUAACGCACCUGUGAGAAGCAAUGUCAUUUUAUAUGUGCUUAUUUGAAAAGAAAGAUUCUAAAAUUAUGUAUUAUUGUUUAUUUAUUUGUCAGAGCAAAAUAUGGAAUAUACGUUAAAUAUGUAUUGUAUGUGGAUUAUAGGGAAAUAUGUUAAAAAUUUAUCAAAUGAGCAACAAGAACAAAUACCAACCCCAAGUAGAAUUGAUAAAAUUGUCAACAGGAGAAUUUGUUUAACAGGAAUAUUAUUGUAAUAAUAUUGUUCCAUUUUUGCAUAACCAUUUUUUUGCUGUUACAAUAUCAAAGCAAUACAAAAGCAACUGAUGCAAAUUUUACUGUAUGUUUAUCCUAUUUUAUUGUACUGAUUAAAGGUGUGUGAAUAUUGCAUUUUAUCCUUCUCUUGUUGGCCAAGCAUGAGAAAAUGUUUUCCUGAACAACAAUGCUUUUUGAAAUAGACUCAUCGUUGUGUGUUCAUUUGUGUUUUUGUCUAUUGCUCCAAAUGGAAAUAACUCAAAAGCUCUGUCUUAAUACCCUGGCUCAUAUUUUGCAGUAGUUUUUUUUUGCACUUCCUUUUGUAAUGAAAAAAGAAUAAAUAAUGUCUUUACAGUUG